CCCUGCAGCCCAAGACUGGUUGCCCACUGAAGCUAAGCACGGUUGCCCCUGGUCAGUACAUGGAUGGGAGAUCUCCUGGGAAAACUAGGUUGCUGCUGGAA
rnacentral:rRNA from 1 species